rnacentral:piRNA from 1 species
UCUCAGGGAGUUUUCCUCUUCUCCUCGGA